rnacentral:rRNA from 1 species
CCUACGGGGGACAGCAGUGGGGAAUAUUGCACAAUGGGGGGAACCCUGAUGCAGCGACGCCGCGUGGGUGAGGAAGUACUUCGGUAUGUAAAGCCCUAUCAGCAGGGAAGAAAAUGACGGUACCUGACUAAGAAGCCCCGGCUAACUACGUGCCAGCAGCCGCGGUAAUACGUAGGGGGCAAGCGUUAUCCGGAUUUACUGGGUGGAAAGGGAGCGUAGACGGCGUGCCAAGUCUGAUGUGAAAGGCCGGGGCUCAACCCCGGGACUGCAUUGGAAACUGGCAUGCUGGGGUGCCGGAGGGGCAAGCGGAAUUCCUAGUGUAGCGGUGAAAUGCGUAGAUAUUAGGAGGAACACCGGUGGCGAAGGCGGCUUGCUGGACGGUAACUGACGUUGAGGCUCGAAAGCGUGGGGAGCAAACAGGAUUAGAUACCCGGGUAGUC